CAUGCAAGUCGAGCGGAAAGGCCCUUCGGGGUACUCGAGCGGCGAACGGGUGAGUAACACGUGAGCAACCUGCCCUAGGCUUUGGGAUAACCCCGGGAAACCGGGGCUAAUACCGGAUAGGACCACCGGCCGCAUGGUUGGUGGUGGAAAGUUUUUCGGCCUGGGAUGGGCUCGCGGCCUAUCAGCUUGUUGGUGGGGUGAUGGCCUACCAAGGCGACGACGGGUAGCCGGCCUGAGAGGGCGACCGGCCACACUGGGACUGAGACACGGCCCAGACUCCUACGGGAGGCAGCAGUGGGGAAUAUUGCACAAUGGGCGGAAGCCUGAUGCAGCGACGCCGCGUGAGGGAUGACGGCCUUCGGGUUGUAAACCUCUUUCAGCAGGGACGAAGCGUAAGUGACGGUACCUGCAGAAGAAGCGCCGGCCAACUACGUGCCAGCAGCCGC
rnacentral:rRNA from 1 species